CCCAUCAGAACUCCGCAGU
rnacentral:snRNA from 1 species